rnacentral:lncRNA from 1 species
UUUUAGGAGUAUCUUCCCAAGACAUGGUGGUGGCCACUCUGCUCCUAAGACGGCAUCUGCAGGGGACAGAAGAGGUCCUAGAAUCGGGGAGUUGUGGGAGCUGAGGUUGUCCUAUAAUAGUUAAUCAAGAUCACCAUCAACAUUAAAGAAAAAAAAAUUCCCUUUGAAGAACUUCCACCUUGAAAGAAUAAUUCAGCAUUGUUUCAGCUCCAUUGCUGUUGUUGUAUUGAUCUUCUCCCCAUGUUUAUUGGAGUCAAUGCAAGAGCGAAAACAAAGAGAGGUAGCUUUUUAAAAAGUAAUAGAUGUUGC